rnacentral:SRP_RNA from 1 species
GCUGGGCGCAGUUGCAUGCACCUGUAGUCCCAGCUGCUCAGGAGGCUGAGGUAGGAGAAUCGCUCGAGUCCAGGAGUUCUGAGCUAUAAUGUGCCAUGCCGAUUGGGUGUCUGCACUAAGUUCAGCAUCAAUAUGGUGACUUCCCAGGAGUGGGGAACUACCAGGUUGCCUAAGGAGGGGUGAACCAGCCCAGUUCAGAAACAGUUAAAACUCCCAUGCUGAUCAGUAGUGAGACUGCAUCAGUGAACAGCCACUGCAGUCCAGCCUGGGCAACAUAGUGAGACCCCAUCUCUA